GCCUCAAAGAGCCGCUCCUCCUUUACUCUCUUAUUCAUAAGUGUCUGCUUCUAUUGGCCAUUAGGCAGGGUUGCGCUCACCAUAGCAACCAGAGAAUGGGGGAAGACGAGGUUCCGUGGGGCCGACAGUAACUCACAGAGACCCUAGAAGGGAUUGGUUUUAUGACAGAACUAUGGUGGUCUUGUUUCCUCUAACACGUAGUGCCGGCGAGGCUUCGCUCAACUGCUACAUCUUCCCUUUGACAUAAUCGUUUUUCAAACUGCCGAGUUUAGUAAGAGCAAAGGAUUGGUGCACCUCGCCCUCCCCCCGCCUGCUCGCUUGCUCUCUCCCCCCCCCCCGCCACCCUGUCACCCGUAUGCCCGACCUCCCGCUCCUCCGCGCCCCUGGUAGGUGCAACACUGAUGUCCAAGAUGGCCAAAAACCAGUCAGAAAAAAAGAUCUAUUUGAAGUACUUCAGGAUACCUCUGCAGUUACAGAAAAAAGGAGCCCAGUUGGCAUCUGUUAUGGUUCUAAUGAACAAGUUACUGAAAUAAUUCUGGCCUGAAUUGAGUAACAGUGACCCAGCACUUCCUCAACCAUCGACCACAGAUAGCAAAGACACCCCCUUGCCAUUGUAGUGAAGCAUAUAUUUUGUGUGCGCACAUAUUCCUUGAAAACCAGCUGUUACUCAG